rnacentral:rRNA from 1 species
GUAGUUGAAUUUUAGCCCUGGCUGGGCGGUCCACCUUUGGAUGGUACUGCUCUGGCUGGGGUUUACCUUUCUGGUGAGCCGUCAUGCCCUUUACUGGGUGUGGCGGGGAACCAGGACUUUUACCUUGAAAAAAUUAGAGUGUUUAAAGCAGGCCAAUUGCUUGAAUACAUUAGCAUGGAAUAAUGGAAUAGGACCUCGGUUCUAUUUUGUUGGUUUCUAGGACCGACGUAAUGAUUAAUAGGAAUAGUUGGGGGCAUUAGUAUUUAGUAGCUAGAGGUGAAAUUCUUGGAUUUACGAAAGACUAACUUCUGCGAAAGCAUUUGUCAAGGAUGUUUUCAUUAAUCAAGAACGAAAGUUAGGGGAUCGAAGACGAUCAGAUACCGUCGUAGUCUUAACCAUAAACUAUGCCGACUAGGGAUCAGACUGUCGUUAAUUUACUGACGCGUUUGGCACCUUAUGAGAAAUCAAAGUUUUUGGGUUCCGGGGGGAGUAUGGUCGCAAGGCUGAAACUUAAAGGAAUUGACGGAAGGGCACCACCAGGAGUGGAGCCUGCGGCUUAAUUUGACUCAACACGGGGAAACUCACCAGGUCCAGACAUAGUAAGGAUUGACAGAUUGAGAGCUCUUUCUUGAUUCUAUGGGUGGUGGUGCAUGGCCGUUCUUAGUUGGUGGAGUGAUUUGUCUGCUUAAUUGCGUUAACGAACGAGACCUUAACCUGCUAAAUAGUUAUGCCAACUUUGGUUGGUAGCCAACUUCUUAGAGGGACUGUCGGCAUCAAGCCGACGGAAGUUUGAGGCAAUAACAGGUCUGUUAUGCCCUUAGAUGUCCUGGGCCGCACGCGCGCUACACUGAUGAAGUCAACGAGUUUAUAACCUUGGCCGGAAGGU